AGAGAGAGACAUGCGCGCAUAUCAAUAAGCGGAGGAAAAGAAACUAACAAGGAUUCCCCUAGUAACGGCGAGUGAAGCGGGAAGAGCUCAAAUUUGAAAUCUUAAAGGGUUUCCCUUACGAAUUGUAGUUUAAAGAAGUGUUUUCUGUUGAGGUUUUGGUAAAAGUUCUUUGGAAUAGGACAUCAUAGAGGGUGAGAAUCCCGUAUUUGACCUUUACUUUCAACUUUGUGAUACACUUUCAGAGAGUCGGAUUGUUUGGGAAUGCAGUCCAAAAUGGGUGGUAAAUUUCAUCUAAAGCUAAAUAUUGGCGAGAGACCGAUAGCGAACAAGUACCGUGAGGGAAAGAUGAAAAGAACUUUGAAAAGAGAGUUAAACAGUACGUGAAAUUGUCAAAAGGGAAGCGUUUGACACCAGUGUUGCUUUUCUGAAAAUCAAUUAAAGAACUGUUUAUGCUAAGUUGUUUAGACUUUAUCAGCUAACUGUUUAGUUUUGAGCUUUUCUUUAAUGCACUUUUCAGUUAACAAGUCAACAUCAAUUUCUUUUGCUGUAAAAAAGCUUGAGGAAGGUGGCUUGAGAUUCGUCUUAAGUGUUUAUAGCCUCUUGCCUAUGCAGUCGGAGAGAUUGAGGUCUGCAGCGUAGAUCCUUCGGGGCUAAAUGCAUUUGUGCUAAGUUAUAGCAUUUUAUAGACGACUUGUUGACUAUGAUUUGUCUUGUAGCUUACUCGCUUAUGUUAUUUUACCUACGCUUAGGAUGUUGACGCAUGAGAUAUACGC
rnacentral:rRNA from 1 species